UGAAGAUAUAAAAGUAAAAAGGAAAUGAGUGAUAUGAACAUCCAGUAAUCUCAACAUACUGAAUCUUAAAAUACAUCAAUAAUUGGCGUUAAAAUAAGGCAGCAGACUCAGACUGUGGGUUACCUGUAAUCUUU